GACGAACGCUGGCGGCGUGCUUAACACAUGCAAGUCGAACGGAAAGGCCCUGCUUUUGUUGGGUGCUCGAGUGGCGAACGGGUGAGUAACACGUGAGUAACCUGCCCUUGACUUUGGGAUAACUUCAGGAAACUGGGGCUAAUACCGGAUAGGAGCUCCUGCUGCAUGUUGGGGGUUGGAAAGUUUCGGCGGUUGGGGAUGGACUCGCGGCUUAUCAGCUUGUUGGUGGGGUAGUGGCUUACCAAGGCUUUGACGGGUAGCCGGCCUGAGAGGGUUACCGGCCACAUUGGGACUGAGAUACGGCCCAGACUCCUACGGGAGGCAGCAGUGGGGAAUAUUGCACAAUGGGCGGAAGCCUGAUGCAGCAACGCCGCGUGCGGGAUGACGGCCUUCGGGUUGUAAACCGCUUUCGCCUGUGACGAAGCGUGAGUGACGGUAAUGGGUAAAGAAGCAACGGCUAACUACGUG
rnacentral:rRNA from 1 species